rnacentral:rRNA from 1 species
CAAUAGCGUAUAUUUAAGUUGUUGCAGUUAAAAAGCUCGUAGUUGGAUUUCGGAUGGGACUUGCCGGUCCGUCGUUUCGAUGUGCACUGGCCAGUCCUAUCUUGUUGUCGGGGACUAGCUCCUGGGCUUCACUGUCCGGGACUAGGAGCUGACGAGGUUACUUUGAGUAAAUUAGAGUGUUCAAAGCAAGCCUACGCUCUGAAUACAUUAGCAUGGAAUAACACGAUAGGACUCUGGCUUAUCUUGUUGGUCUGUGAGACCAGAGUAAUGAUUAAGAGGGACAGUCGGGGGCAUUCGUAUUUCAUUGUCAGAGGUGAAAUUCUUGGAUCUAUGAAAGACGAACUUCUGCGAAAGCAUUUGUCAAGGAUGUCUCCAUUAA